rnacentral:rRNA from 1 species
UACGUAGGGUGCAAGCGUUGUCCGGAAUUAUUGGGCGUAAAGAGCUCGUAGGCGGUCUGUCGCGUCUGCUGUGAAAACUCGGGGCUUAACCCCGGGCCUGCAGUGGGUACGGGCAGACUAGAGUGCGGUAGGGGAGACUGGAAUUCCUGGUGUAGCGGUGAAAUGCGCAGAUAUCAGGAGGAACAGCCGGUGGCGAAGGCGGGUCGCUGGGCCGUAACUGACGCUGAGGAGCGAAAGCGUGGGGGAGCGAACAGG